AGCUCCAAUAGCGUAUAUUAACGUUGCUGCAGUUAAAAAGCUCGUAGUUGCAUUUCCGAGGCAAGGGAUUAGUCCGACCUUUGGUGGGUAUUUAAUCCUCUUGCCUCGUCCUUGAGUGGUGCUUCUUGGUAUUAAGUUAUCGAGGAGAUAGCCGCUCAUCGUUUACUGUGAGAAAAUUAGAGUGUUCAAAGCAGGCUUAUGCCGUUGAAUAUAUUAGCAUGGAAUAAUAAGAUAGGACCUCGGUACUAUUUUGUUGGUUUGAGAACCAAGGUAAUGAUGAAUAGGGACAGUUGGGGGUAUUCGUAUUCAGUUGUCAGAGGUGAAAUUCUUAGAUUUACGGAAGACGAACUACUGCGAAAGCAUUUACCAAGGAUGUUUGCA
rnacentral:rRNA from 1 species